rnacentral:rRNA from 1 species
ACACUGGCACUGGAACACGGGCCAGACUCCUACGGGAGGCAGCAGUGAGGAAUAUUGCGCAAUGGGGGCAACCCUGACGCAGCGACGCCGCGUGAGUGAGGAAGGCCUUCGGGUCGUAAAGCUCUGUCAAAGGGAAAGAAGUGCAUGGUGGUUAAUACCUGUCAUGCUUGACGGUACCCUUAAAGGAAGCACCGGCUAACUCCGUGCCAGCAGCCGCGGUAAUACGGAGGGUGCAAGCGUUGUUCGGAAUUACUGGGCGUAAAGGGCGCGUAGGCGGUUUGAUAAGUCAGAUGUGAAAGCCCACGGCUUAACCGUGGAAGUGCAUUUGAUACUGUCAGACUUGAGUACCAGAGGGGAAAGUGGAAUUCCCGGUGUAGAGGUGAAAUUCGUAGAUAUCGGGAGGAAUACCGGUGGCGAAGGCGACUUUCUGGCUGAGUACUGACGCUGAGGCGCGAAAGCGUGGGGAGCAAACAGGAUUAGAUACCCUGGUAGUCCACGCUGUAAACGAUG